rnacentral:lncRNA from 1 species
CAAUUUUCAUGAUGCCAUGUGGCAGCAGGAUCUACCAUAGACAACACAUUAUGCUUCCAAUAUCUUCCCAGGCGGUAGUACCUCCCUGUUUGGUAGCUGCCUAAUACCUACUACUCUUAAUACCUAAUACAUGUACCUACAUCAGCUGAAAAACAAAAUAGUUUGAGUGGUGUGCUUUUCCUUAUUCUGCAAUAUAAACAGAAAACGUUCCUCUGUAAGAAUAAGGUAAUCUUUGCUUCUAAAGAUUUGAACCUACAGACUUGUGUUGCAGCAUGGUGGCAAAAACCUGGAAGUUAGUGAAAGAUACCAACAUCAUGCUACAAGAAUAAAUCACUUGUAUGGAAAUGGACUGUAUGCCUGUAAUGCCAACAUAUGGAAAAAAUUUGUGAAUAUGACACUUCUCCAAAGAAAGACAGAAGAGAUAGAGGCACCAACUGCUGUUAAUAGGCCAGGCAAGGCAAAAUGUAUAAGGCAAGAGUGAACUGACUUCAGUGGCUUUCAAAGCCAUCACUGAGAUAAUCUUAGAGCAAGCUUUAUUAACCUAGUUUGAAUGGAGAAGAAACUGCUCCACAACAAUGUACACGGUUUUCAUAUUACAGGGUACCUGUCAACUGUAUGUAAAUAGCUCCCUAAACAAGACAGACUAGUUCUAGUUGGAGAAUCUUUCAAACCCUAUAAAUUACAAACAUUUCUGUAGUGAAAAUACACUAAUAAGUGUUGCAUAACUUUGUUGGAAAAUGAUACAAUGCAUUCACUAUAUACAAUAUAUUUAUGGACAAUAAACACUGAAAUUUACUUAAUGCAUUAUAUAACUUUUCUAGACACUUUAUAAUCAUCGCAGGAUAUAUUAAUAAGAACCUAAAUUUGUAAGUCCUCACCAAUAACACAAUAGUAUUUUAUUUAAACAAUAAGCUAUUUUAAAAAAUAUCAAGUAAUAUUUGUAAAUAUAUUCAUAUCAGAUAUUCUUUAUCACCAAGUAUGGAACAAACUUCAAAAUAAAUUAUUAAUCACAAUAAGGCACAACCUUUAAUGUUAGAUUUCCAGAUAUUGUAAUCAUUAUAUUCCUUUUUACAUCAGUGCGAGUCAUCAAAAUAAUGGCAGAUUAUACAUCUGUGAAUAUGUUUUUCCUUGUACUGUACUUCAGAUUAUGCACCAAAUUUGUUACACAGCUGCAGGUACUGUAUACAGUAUGAAAAAUGUAAGAUGUAUCCAGAGGGCUGCAAUGAAGCCCUACGAGGUGUACAGGGAUUAUAAAAAAAAACAAAAAAACCAGCUGCUAUCUAUCAUCAGCUUUUUUAGCAAGACCACCGCUGCUAUAGCUGCCUCAAUCACUGAACCACAACCCUCUACCAGCUGCUACACUCCAGCCACAACCUUCCACCAGUAGCUACACUCAAGUCCCCAACAUCCAAGAUGUCCCUGCAUCACCCACCUCAUCAGACAGCGACAAACCUGAAGAGGAGCAGACCUACGUCCCCUCUUCCUUAUAACCACCACCUCUCCCUCACAUCAUCCUCAUCCACCAUCGUCCUCAAUGAAGGAUGGAAUUGGAGGUUGCUGGCCAUUGCUUUUUCUCCAGGAGCCAGCAUUGCCACAACUGAAGAUAAAAAUUACAGGGCACUCACAAAUGCAGUCAAGAGAUUAACAAGGGUGCAGUACAUUUGUAUGUGUCAUGAGGUUUACACCUUCAGUACCUAUGUAAUUUUUAUUUCAUCACUUGAAGCUGCUUUAGUGAAUGGACUCCUGCAAUAAAUAAAAUAUAUAUACUAAUUUAUGGUAAAUUUUAAAUUCUAAACACAAGCGAGAAAAACCCAACUUAAUAAAAUUAAGCACAAAAGCACCUGUCCAUUAAGCAUCACAUCUUUGGACACAGCCUGAGAAAAGAGGAUUUAGGCUGUAUUCAAUUUUUUUUUCUUUAUAGUGGUUAUAAGGUAUUAUUUUUAAACUGUUUUUACAGAACACAUCAAGUAUUUAUUAUUAUUAAUUUUUGUCACUAGCCUUGAGAAGUGACCACAGAAGGUAUGAGGAGAUGUGAAAAGCCAAAAAUAAAGCAGCAUUUACAUAUGACUUAUGAAAGCUAUAGUAUAUUCACAAAAAGUUAAUCAACGAAAGGUACAGAAAUUACUGUACAGUAUAGGCAAACAUUAUAAUGUACCUUAAUUACCUUAUAUUUUUUUAUGACAAUAUGUAAAGAAGAAAAGGUGUCUUGAAAGUGAAUUACAUUUGUUAUUAAGUACAGGUAGUAUGAAACAUUAAUCCAAAAGAUGUAAAUUCCCACAUGAUGAUUCCAGUCAUUUGUGGGUCAUUGAUAUCAAGCAGCACCCUUUUAUCAUUUGUGAUCUAGUUAUUACUGAUCACAGAGAUUGAGACACUUUUAAUAUCAAUGUGAAAGUGAGUGGGUCCCAUAGGGAUGACUGCCCAUUAGGGACAGUGUGGAUACAGCACACUGUAUACUCAGCCUUCAAUACAGAAGGAGGGAACAUGGGCAGUACUGCACUCGACCACAUUCACUUCCCCAAGUUGUAAACGUGGGUACCCAUUUACAGCUGGGCGAAUUGGGAAUGCCCGGAAAUCGAACCACUGACGGUAAUACAGUAUUAUACUAAAUUAAGGUUAAUUCCUCACACUGAUAAAAUUAGUUAGCUUUUGAGUAUUUACCUGGGAGCUUUUUGCUGACAUUCUAAGUUCAGUAAUAAGUAAUACUGAACAGUGACUGUUUAACCUCAAACAGUAUUCAUGAAUAUUAUCAAAUUUUGACAAAUUUACCAUGUGCAGUUCCUUUCUGUUAUGUUCCUUACUUGGUGAGACCACUUUUAUGGUAAUAUAGAUUAACAUAGGCACUACUGGUGGUUUGCUUAUUAGCUUUACCUGAAGAUAUUGGCUGAAAAGUUUGUGUAUAUAAUAUGCAGUCUUACCACUGAGGGGUCUCCAGGAUGGAUGGUAAUGUAUCUCUCGAGUUGAAGCCAAAAGCCUACACAUAUAAUUAUCUAGACGUGAAUCUUGUAUACUGUUCUGAUUCUAUAUCACAAACAACUGUAUAUUUGUUUCUAUUUAAUAGCAUGACUUUCACUAGAUAUUUAGGUAGAGCAGUUGGGGGAUCAAGAACUCUGUGGCAGACAUACUGUAAAUCACUGAACACGACAAACUACAGACAUUCUGUGUGAUGGAUACAACUGUGUUUAGAAAUGAACUGAGGUCAAGUUAUUAAUUUCUAUAUAAGAUAAUCUGAUCCCACCCAAAUGUCAGUUGGACCUAUCAAUUUGACCAGCAAGCUAUUCCUAACAAUAACCCUGUAAUAACAUCCACAAACAUUUUUUAACACUAUAAAACCUCAUAUUACAACUUACAUAAAGUAAGCAACACCAAGUCAAUUGUCUAGUUUCAGCGAUAUAAUUUUAUUAUAUUCUUGAAUUUAGUCUCUUUAUGCAGUACAUUAUAUGGAAUUACUGUACUAACUUUUUUUUUUUUACACAUUAAUAAAUAAUGUGCCAAGCCCUCAGAAUUUACUCCUAGGGACUGGAAAUCAUAAUACUGUACUGUAUUUAAAAAAUAAACCUGAGAUUAUUAUGGUUACCUCUACAUAUGGAAAUUAAUGCUUAUAUUAACAAAAAAAAAAGAAGUAAUACAAUUGGUUGCAUUUAUAAAGUUCCUUGCAA